rnacentral:rRNA from 1 species
CGACUCUCGGCAACGGAUAUCUCGGCUCUCGCAUCGAUGAAGAACGUAGCGAAAUGCGAUACUUGGUGUGAAUUGCAGAAUCCCGUGAACCAUCGAGUCUUUGAACGCAAGUUGCGCCCCAAGCCUUCUGGCCGAGGGCACGUCUGCCUGGGUGUC